AUGGGAGGCUUUGAGGGUCAUCUGUACCCCGGGCUGUCUUUCUUCUUCUAUGGACUUUAUCAUGCGCAACUUGUCUCCAGAGCCUUGAUAUGCAAUGCCCCUGUCCAGUAUCCACUACGCCAUCCCUGGAGAAAAGGAAGAUGGGCGAGGCUAUGGCAAAUAUACUACAUUGGGUUGCUGAAGAUAUUGACUGCCUGCAUUUUAGUAGCCCAAGAGUUGCACAGCAUUCCUAGACAGUUUGUACUUAUCAGCAAGAUGUAUCAUCAGAGAAACUUUAUGUUCCGCAAACAGUGGCAGCAUCUCACUCUCUAUAUGACUUUCUUGCUGAGUGGGUGUGUAGACAUGGUGAGCCAGAACCUGCUGCCCAAGAGAUGUGCUGCUCUGGAGCAAGGUGCCCAAGCUCUGGGCAUGUUCAUAUUUUUGCCCCUGAUGGUGUCUCACCUGCAGGACACAGAAGGAGUGGAGCUUCAGUCUCACGUGCUGCUCACCCAGGCCAUGUUCCUGCUGACUCUGGUGGUGACUGCAGAGCUGUGGGCUCCCAACAUGCCGCUGAUCUGGAUCAUGAAGGCCUUUUUGUAUAUGAUCACAGGCUCUUGGCUGAUGCACAUAGGCUUUAUGCUGUUCAAACCAAUCUCUGGCUAUCAAUGGAUGGAUGAUGACAGAAAUGACAUUAUGUUUGUCACCACCUUCUUCUGCUGGCAUGUGAUCUUCAGUGCCAUUUUGAUGAUCUGGAUCUAUGGCUUCUCCUUUUGGUGGUAUUGCUACAUUUUUGUUAAGGCCUGA
rnacentral:sRNA from 1 species